rnacentral:rRNA from 1 species
GACAGAGGCCCCAAGCGUUAAUCGGAAUUACUGGGCGUAAAGCGUGCGCAGGCGGCGCGUUAAGACAGGUGUGAAAGCCCCGAGCUUAACUUGGGAAUUGCGCUUGUGACUGGCGAGCUGGAGUGUGGCAGAGGGAGGUGGAAUUCCACGUGUAGCAGUGAAAUGCGUAGAGAUGUGGAGGAACACCGAUGGCGAAGGCAGCCUCCUGGGCCAGCACUGACGCUCAUGCACGAAAGCGUGGGGAGCAAACAGG